CAUCCGUCAUGUGAAUCGCGGCCCACAGAGAUUCCUGCAGGCCUCUUUUUGACAUCAGGGCUAAAAAUAGAGCGGUUUGGUGGCAGGGCGAGAGGGCAUUCAUCAUGCAAAGGAAGAAGAAGAAGAAAAUCACUCAGCGGACAGAAAGAUUACAGAAGGUUGCAAGGAAAACCAGGUCAUAACAGGCCGGGAACAAGGACGAAGGAGUCUGCUCGGAAAAAAGCCAAAGACAGUCAAUUUUGGUUGGAUCACAAGGUUUCCGAGACAGUUUUCACGUCAGAUGUUCCUUCUGAGAGGCUGAAAAAAGGCGAUUUCAUUACCUCUGAGCGUUUUCCACUCAAAAGGCCUUCGUUUAUUUCACUCUUUUGCCUCAUAGAGCUGCUAACAGCCUUUCUGCAUUGAUUUUUUAGUGGACUUUCUUCACUCGGCUGUGAUGUGUAUUCUCCCUUUGCGUCUCAGCGUUCGAUUUGCCCGGCAGGUCUGUGAAAUCAUCUUUAUACAUAUUUUAACAUCUGCAAGAAAACGCUCUCAUGUCGGCUCAAGUGAUGGUGCAACAACCGUGCAACAGCUGAUCUCCAUGCGUUCCCUCCCGCUGCCAUCUUUGAUCUCAUACGGAUGGGAAGGUUAAUGGGACACAGCUAAAACACGGCUCGCUCAUUAUUAAGACUCAUCUACACACUAACAGAGGCGCUGCCGUGCUCUUCAAGGUCGACUCGUCUCGUUACUUUGAAAUGAGACGUGCAGCUGUUUUUUCUCAUGCACUUUAUGUCUUUUUUGGCAAUAACAGACACCAGUUUCAGCCCAUCAAAACAUGUAUAUUAUUAAAUUACUUGUAAAAUGGGAUAUCAAUCAUGGUAACACUGGUAACAGUCAAUUCUGACUUUAUAUCUCGCAAUUUUUAGUUUAUCUCAUAAUUCUGAGUUUAUAUCUCACAAAUUUAAGUUUAUCUCUCAUAAUUCUGAGUUUAUAUCUCACAAAUUUAAGUUUAUCUCUCAUAAUUCUGAGUUUAUAUCUCACAAAUUUAAGUUUAUCUCUCGUAAUUCUGAGUUUAUAUCUCGCAAUUCUGAGUUUAUCUCAAAAUUCUGACUUUAAUUCUCACAAUUCCGUUUACAUCGCAAUUCUGAUUUUAUAUCUCGCAAUUUUGAGUUUAUCUCUCAUAAUUCUGAGUUUAUUUUUUGCAAUUCAGACAUUAUAAAUAUUGUAAUUCUGAGUUUAUAUCUCAUAAUUCUGAGUUCAUAUCUCGCAAUUCUGAAUUUAUAUCUCACAAUUUUGAGUUUAUCUCUCAUAAUUCUGAGUUUAUUUUUUGCAAUUCAGACAUUAUAAAUAUUGUAAUUCUUAGUUUAUCUUGCAAUUCUGACUUUCAUUCUCGCAGUUCUGUUCACAUCACAAUUCUGAGGUUAUAUC